GAUGAACGCUGGCGGCGUGCCUAAUACAUGCAAGUCGAGCGAACGGACGAGACGCUUGCUUCUCUGAUGUUAGCGGCGGACGGGUGAGUCACACGUGGAUAACCUACCUAUAAGACUGGGAUAACUUCGGGAAACCGUAGCUAAUACCGGAUAAUAUUUUGAACCGCAUGGUUCAAAAGUGAAAGACGGUCUUGCUGUCCCUUAUAGAUGGAUCCGCGCUGCAUUAGCUAGUUGGUAAGGUAACGGCUUACCAAGGCAACGAUGCAUAGCCGACCUGAGAGGGUGAUCGGCCACACUGGAACUGAGACACGGUCCAGACUCCUACGAGAGGCAGCAGUAGGGAAUCUUCCGCAAUGGGCGAAAGCCUGACGGAGCAACGCCGCGUGAGUGAUGAAGGUCUUCGGAUCGUAAAACUCUGUUAUUAGGGAAGAACAUAUGUGUAAGUAACUGUGCACAUCUUGACGGUACCUAAUCAGAAAGCCACGGCUAACUACGUG
rnacentral:rRNA from 1 species